UUGAGAUGUGACAUGAAAGAAAAUAACAGAAAUGAUUUUUCCAUCCCAUCCUCAGGGACCAGUGGGAAUGAAUUUUACCAUCCCACCCUCAAGGGCCAGGUUGGAAGUGAUAUUGGUGGAAGACAACAUUUUGCCGCUUGGAAUUCUCACCUCCACACCAAAGAAGUACUGUUUUUGUCAUUUGCACCAGCUUCUUUCUCCAGGAAAGAUCAAAACGAUGCACUGCAAGGGUGAUUGGUCCAGAUAGCUGCCUUAUCCAACUGCCUCCUUUGGACCACUUCAUCAUGGGACAGCUUGAUGCAAUCUACUUGACAAGACCCUGGAACCCCACACCCCUCAUGGAACCAGUGUCCACCUCCCAGUCACAGUGUGACCCCAGGGAACUCUUGCCUGCUUGCUUUAAACCCACCACUUAAAAGUCUCCACAGAAAACCUGUUUGAAUAGUACCCUUGACCCAAUAAGGGCAUUGGCCCCUGGGUGUCUCUCUCUCUCUCUCUCUCUCUCUCUCCCUCUCUCUCCCUCUCUCUCUCUCGCUCCCUGACCUCUGCGUGUGGACUCCAGGCAUGCCAUAUACCCCUCAGGACCUGUGGCUUCAGAGGUUAUUAGCACAUCUGUUUGAGAUAUGCACAGUUUUACAUUUGUCCCUUAGGUAAUCAACAGGGCUGAGAUCAGUAAAUCACAUGUAAGCCCAAAUCAUAGAUCAAGAUAUUUUAUUUAUGUAUGUCUUUUAAAUGAAGAGUGGUUAGGAUAGUCCUGAUUAUUGCACAUAAAUAUUGCCUUUCACUAGAUUAUUGUUUUGGGCCAAAUUUUAGACUAUUAUUUUAAAAAAGAGUACCUUAGUUUAAUCCAACCUUUCCAGAUACUUAGAAAUUAUUGAAAUGUAUAUUUUGUGAAGAUGGUCUUAUGAAAGUUGUUGAGCUAGAAACAUGUCCUUCACCAGUGGAAUUCUUAGAAGCUUUCCUUGGGCUUCACUGGGUGCUAAUAGACCAUGAUCGUAUUGCUCUGUAUAUAAUGGUACAAAUUUUGUUUUAUAACACUCAGUCUUAAUAGAAUGGGAAUAUUUUAUCUUACUAACGUAGUCAUUAGCUGGCCACUCUCUGUGUCCAUUGGACCUUAUAGGGUAAAGGGAGGGCAGUGCGUAUUUGAAGCCUGUGCACGUGACACACAAAGGGCUUAGCAACCUCCGUGUUUUCCCAGCACAGGAUACCCAUUCUUCCUGAAUGUUUCAUUGUUAAAUUAGAUUGUGUGUGUGUGUGUGUGUGUGUGUGUGUAUUUUAUAUUAACAUACAGAUGUAUGUAUUUUAGUUGCAUUUUUUUUCUUAAAAUGUUAUUUUUUCUCUUUUUCUUUUAUGUCAGGUGAUGAUAGAGCCCCUAGGGAAGCAAAACUGUCCAUGCCCUUGCCUUAACUUUCAGAUACGAUAAAAACAACAUUUAUAAAAUACCUGUCUUAGAAAUAUUAGCUAAAAUUAUGUUGGGGAAAGUAUGUUUGAAAAUAGAAUUGUAAGCUACCACAUUGUGAUAAAUAUUACUAAAUUUGUUUAUUGACUUGUCAGGAAGCAAAAGAAUGAAUUAAAGAAAACUCCAGAGAAUGAGCUGACAACCUACUCCCUGGUCAGUGGCUCUCCAUGCCUACCUGUGGUCUCUUGGACACCCUUGCAGGAGAUGACUUCCUGGGAACUCUUCUGGGAGUGAAUGUUAUCAGCAAAUUCCCAAAACAACACCCCUUAGACAAAAAGCCUCCUCACCUAUGCAUUGCCUAGACCACCCACUAAAGGUGAUGGCCACAAAGAGGUGGAUUUGUUGAGUUGGUGCCAUUCCUUCUACUGCCAGCUUCACCAAAACAAUGACACAGUCUUCCUUCCGCAUGGAGACUCUUCUCUUUCCUGUGUUGCAGUGGAUGCCUCCUGCAGAUAAGAAAUGCUUAACUGAGAAAUGCUCAUGUUGGGAUAUCAUCGAUGAGACUUUAAUUUGGGCAUGGUGACUGUUUCCCUUGCUGCCACUUGACUCAAUCCCAGGAGCCUCAGUAGAGGAUAUAAUAUUACACAAGAUGCUCAAAAUGGUGGAAUUGCUCAGUGCUCCCAUAAAUAUACAUUUAUAAUUUUCAUUUGCCACAUGGUAAACUGAAAAAUACAGACUAUAUUAAAAAGAAACUGCAUGAUUUUUUUUCAAAAAUUCAAAGCAUAUUUAAAUAAUAUAUAAAUUAAAUGCCCUCCUCUCUUCCAAUUCUGUCCCUAUAGUUUUCCUCUAUUAAGUGAACUACAUGCAUUCUUUUAGUGGAUAGAUGCACACAAACACACAAGCCAUUAUGGGGAAGGAUCCACGUGUGUGGCCAUAUUGUAACACAUUUUUCUGCAAAUCACCUCUUUCAUUUAACAGCCCUUAUUCAAUGGCCUUUUUCUUUUUCAGUAGUACAUACACAUCUGUGUCAUUUGUUGAAUGACGACAUGAAUGUUUUGUAGAUAAAAUAUAAUUAAAUGUUUUAAGCAUUUCUCACUCAUAGAUAUUUAUGUUAGCACCAAAUUUCUGUGCAAUGAACCUCCCUAUAUAUCAGUAAUUUUGCAUUUGUCUAUAAUAUCAUAAUAAAUUACUUAUCAGUUGAAUUACUGGGAUUAAGUAUGUGCACACUUUAUAUUUAUAUUUUGAAAAUUAUUGCAAGAUUGCCUUCAAAAAUGUGGUUAACAACUUUAUCUUCAAAUGGCAAUGAAUGAGAUUGCCAGCUUUCCUACAGCCUCACAGACAAUGGAUUUUAUAAAUAUUUAACAUUUUUGCCAAUGUGAUCACCCAAACUAUUGUCUUAAAUUGUAUCUCUUUUGUUUUUGAGUUUGGUCAUUUUUUCAUGUUUAUUAGCCAUCUGUAUUUUUUAAUUUCUUCUUUAUGUCCAAUUUUGUGGGUGGGAGGAGGAUUUAGUCUCUUCCUGAUUUCGAAGAGCUCAUUUACUAUUUCGGGAAAUAAGAUUUGGAUUGUCAACCAUUAUAGCUAUUUUUUACACACUUUUCAACUUUGUUUUUGUUAUAAGAAUGUGUAUGAUUGUUACAUGUCCAAGUAUAACCAUGUUCGCUUUUAUGGCUUCUGAGUUUCAUGUCAUUUUUGGAAAGAUAUAUAUAUUGAGUCCAUAAAACCCUUCACCUAUGUUAAAUUCUAAUUCUUUUGUGUUUUUUUAAUUCAAAUUCUUAAAUCAUGAGAAAUUUUUUUGUUUUGAAAUCUUAAAGUUGCCAAGUUACUUGCCAUUACUUGCGAUUAUUUGCCAAUAAUUGCCCAUUUAUCUGUACCGCCAUCUUGCGCAUAUGCUGUACUCUCAUCUGUGACUGGCUCCAUUUUUGUUCUGUGGAUUUGUGUGUCUCUUCUUCUGCCUCCUGUCUCGUGUCUGCUCGUUGGAAGAAAUUACAGUUUAGACUGCAAUUUCAUCAACUUUAAUAAAUCAAUUGAGGGGAGAAUUGGUUUUUAAAAAUAUUAAGUAAGUCUUCGUAUCCAAGGACAAGGUAUGUCUUUUCUUAUUCAAUAAUUUUAAUUACUGUUAAUAUUUUCACUGUGGUGAUGGGAGUUUUUCUUUUAAUUUAUUUUCUUGUUCAUUUUUUGUAUCUAAAGUUUUUGUUUUGUUUUGUUUUGGGGGUAAGUUGUCACCUUACUGUUUCUUGUUGCUUUUCAGAUUUUUUCAAAGUAUAGACUAAAUCCUUCACAAAUAUUUAAAGUUUUUAUUUUCCCCCUUCAUAUUGAUCCUGAUUUUAGUUAUGUUGACAAAGUCCACAGACUGUUACUAUCAGAACACUUGAACAGUUAUGGAAAUAUUACCUACCCUUGAUUUAAUCAGAGUUUAAUGGUAUGCUUCUUUGGUUUGACUGGCACAUUGUCGCUGGUCAUUUCCUCCCAAAGACCACCAGAAAGAGCUAUGAUCAAGCAAAGCUGAGUUUGUUAAACUUACCUGCAGCAAGGGAAAACACCACCUUGAUAGGGUUUAAUAAUGUUUCAAAAUCAAGAAAUGAGGCUUUGGGGUCUGGGCAGGGAACUAAUUAGAAAUGGGCAAAAUUUGUCAUGCAAUACCUUGUGGGAAAGUGAGAUGAGGUUCUUAAUGUGAGUAUUGAUGGUGAAAUCAUUUUCUAGGUGAGCUGUUUGCCUAUAUAAAGAUGUUAUCAAUGACAGAAGAACUAUUUGCCUAGAUAAACAAACUGAAUUUAUUUAUUGGUUUACAGUUUUAUCUUGCUGGGCAGGACUCUGCUGGGGGUGGUAUCAGGUCUUAUUCCCAAUAGGUAAGUUAUUUGGAUAUGGGUGGUCUUAAUCAUCAAUGUGUAAAAUGCUGAUUUUAAGUGCGAAAUACUUUGUCUACCAUGUUAGGAAAGUCUGCCACCUUUUAUCUUUUUUAAGGAAUUUUAAUCAAAACCAGGUGGUAGAUAUAAUCAAAUUGUUUUGCAGAAUCAAUUUUCCUGUUCUCUUUAAAGACUUUUAUCACUGUGAAUUAAUUUACUAUUAUUGCAACUUCCUUUAAUUCCUUGAAUGAACAGACCCUACUGGUUUUAAAAAUGUUUUAUUCUUUUAAUUUACUACUUAAUUGUGGGUAUUUUAAUUUGAUUUGGAAUUUUUACAAGUAUACAACUAAGUGAAAUUGAUCUGUGAUUUUUCUUUUUUGUGCUAUUUUUGUCAUGUUUUGAUAUCAGAUAUUCUGGUUGUGUUAAAAUAAUUUUGAGGAUUUUCUUCUUAUACUGUGUUCUAGAGUGGGUAAAAAAGCCCUAGUCUCACUAUCAGUGUUUAAGUGAACACAUCAGUGACAUCAUCUGGACUCUCCUUUGUUUUUGCUGGUUUGGAGUUAGGACAUCUAGAAGUUUUUUUCUUUUUUUCCUUUUUUUGUAUGGUUAUUGCUUGUUCUUUGUUUUGUGUCAAAUUUAACCUGUUUUCUCUUAGCAAAUCACAGCUCAUGCAGAUUUUCAAACACAUUAGCCUUGUUAUACAAAGUGUUCUUUCAUCAUUCUAUUAAAUUUCCAUUUUCAUUCCAGUUAUAGUUAUUUCUGCUGUGCCUUUGUUAAUGAAUAAGUUUAAACAGUGGAUGUUUAGCAUCACUAGCCUUCCCCUUCCAUCUCCCUUAAUCAGGACCUUGGUAUAAUUUAUCAGGUAUUUUUUAAGGUUCUAAUUUACUUAUAUAUAUUGUUUCUGUAUUCUUUUGUUUCUUUUCUUAAUAAAUUCUUAAACCUGUGUA
rnacentral:lncRNA from 1 species